GCCAAAUGCUGACGAUUGUGGUCGAGCCGUCGAGGACAUGUAUUGCCGUUACGUAAAUUGCACUGUGGGACGAAGAUCGAUAUGGAGAUAUUUGUCUUCGGAUACAACGAAGAACCCUCCAACAAAAGCUGCAAAGAAAAAGCGGAAACCAAAGAAACACUAUGCUGAGGUUUUACAAGUGGGCGCCAAUUCGGCCAGCCUCGUGCAGAGGCGCGUGGCCAAGCUGGACCCGGCGCUGUGGCCGGGCGUGCGCGCCGGCCCGGCCAGCGCCGAGCCGGCCCAGCCGCCGGUGCCGCCCGACGCCAGGCUGUCCGAGGCC
rnacentral:lncRNA from 1 species